rnacentral:rRNA from 1 species
UACGUAGGGUGCGAGCGUUAAUCGGAAUUACUGGGAGUAAAGCGUGCGCAGGCGGUUUUGUAAGCCAGGUGUGAAAGCCCCGGGCUAAACCUGGGAAUGGCAUUUGGGACUGCAAGGCUGGAGUUUGGCAGAGGAGACUGGAAUUCCUGGUGUAGCAGUGAAAUGCGUAGAUAUCAGGAGGAAUACCGAUGGCGAAGGCAGGUCUCUGGGCUAUAACUGACGCUCAUGCACGAAAGCGUGGGGAGCAAACAGG